UACGUAGGGUGCAAGCGUUGUCCGGAAUACUGGGCGUAAAGCGUGCGCAGGCGGUUGUGCAAGACAGAUGUGAAAUCCCCGGGCUCAACCCUGGGAAUGGCAUUGGUGACUGCACGGCUAGAGUGUGUCAGAGGGGGGUAGAAUUCCACGUGUGAGCAGUGAAAUGCGUAGAGAUGUGGAGGAAUACCGAUGGCGAAGGCAGCCCCCUGGAUAACACUGACGCCUGCA
rnacentral:rRNA from 1 species